UACGUAGGGUGCGAGCGUUGUCCGGAAUUAUUGGGCGUAAAGAGCUCGUAGGCGGCCUGUCGCGUCGGUUGUGAAAGCCCGGGGCUUAACCCCGGGUCUGCAGUCGAUACGGGCAGGCUAGAGUUCGGUAGGGGAGAUCGGAAUUCCUGGUGUAGCGGUGAAAUGCGCAGAUAUCAGGAGGAACACCGGUGGCGAAGGCGGGUCUCUGGGCCACUACUGACGCUGAGGAGCGAAAGCGUGGGGAGCGAACAGG
rnacentral:rRNA from 1 species